UCGGGAAUUUUGGGCAAUGGGCGAAAGCCUGACCCAGCAACGCCGCGUGAAGGAUGAAGUAUUUCGGUAUGUAAACUUCGUAAGAAUAGGAAGAAUAAAUGACGGUACUAUUUGUAAGGUCCGGCUAACUACGUGCCAGCAGCCGCGGUAAUACGUAGGGACCAAGCGUUGUUCGGAUUUACUGGGCGUAAAGGGCGCGUAGGCGGCGUGGUAAGUCAUCUGUGAAAUCUCCGAGCUUAACUCGGAACGGUCAGAUGAUACUGCUGUGCUAGAGUACAGAAGGGGCAAUCGGAAUUCUUGGUGUAGCGGUGAAAUGCGUAGAUAUCGAGAGGAACACCUGAGGUGAAGACGGGUUGCUGGGCUGAUACUGACGCUGAGGCGCGAAAGCUAGGGUAGCAAACGGGAUUAGAUACCCAUGUAGUCCCUGAGCGGGCUGGCAAGGCGCAU
rnacentral:rRNA from 1 species